UACGUAGGGUCCAAGCGUUAUCCGGAAUCACUGGGCGUAAAGCGUGCGUAGGUGGGUGUUUAAGUGCGAUGCGAAAUCCCGUGGCUCAACCAUGUGGACUGUAUCGCAUACUGAAUACCUUGAGGACAUGAGAGGCAAGUGGAAUUACUGGUGUAGCAGUGAAAUGCGUAGAUAUCAGUAGGAACACCAAUGGCGAAGGCAGCUUGCUGGCAUGUAUCUGACGCUAAGGCACGAAAGCGUGGGGAGCGAACAGG
rnacentral:rRNA from 1 species